CCUACCGAUGGAGAACCUAUAAAGGGCUCUAUAAUGGCUCUUGUGUCCCCCAUAAGGGAAUAAGGGCAGAUUUGGUUCACAACACAGCAGAUCACUGGAUCCAGAUAUCCCUGCCCCACACCAGCCACCUGGGUUCCCACCAACCUCUCAGGAUCCACACACCCCCUUCCACAAACAUCUUUUUCUUUCUUUUUUAUUGAAUUUGUAUCCCACCAGAGGUCAUUGCCUCCAUCCCUUAUUAGUUUCAGUUUGUGGUUCAGUCUACAUGCCCAAUAAGAAAAAACUUCCAAACUGAGACAUACUGUAGAUGAUGUUUAUGAUGAUUAUUAUUUGGUGUGGCUAUUCUAAUAACUUAAUCUUUUAUUUGAUUUGUAUAGACACUGAACUAUAUCCUUGCUCUGGGAUUGCAUUUGCUUCCCUGGCUGCCUGGUUAACCUGGUCUAACUGUCCCAAGCCAUGACCAUAUUAGCUGAGGCAGUUUGACAUCUGAGAACAAUGCAGAUUCAGAUUUGAAGAAAGAGGAAAUAAAUGCUUGUAACUAGUAGAUCAUGAGGACGGUAUGAAAAACUGUGCAUCCAAUGGUAUAAUCGGUCCUCAUGGGUCUAUGGAGCAGCAUAUAAUACUUGGAAGAUGGAAAGAACAGAUUGAGAGUCUGUAAGACUUCCACAACAGACUCGAGUGAAACCCAAAAUGACAGAGCCAGGCUGUUCUGCUACAGGGAUUGCAUUUUUCUUAAUGAAAACAAAGAAGGAAGCUCAUGAUUACUGACAACACCAAGGUUGCAGGUUCGAUCCCCGAAAGGGACAGCUGCAUAUUCCUGCACUGCAGUGGGUUGGACUAGAUUAUCCUCGGGGUCCUUUCCAACACUACAGUUCUAUGAUUGGUGGUAACAUUAAUGCCAAGUUGAAACAUCUGGUUCAGGCUUGCAUGAAAUGCCAGCAAAUGGCACCUUUUGUUCAGACAGAAGGUUGUGCUUGUGACAAAAUGGGACCACUGGAUAUAGUAGGCACUGUUUGAAGCAGCUGCAUCAUCAGGUCCUCCCCAAAAUGACUUGGCUGCAUCCUAUAGAACUGCCAUCUUAAAUCUUAGUAUUUUCAUGUUUGCGCUUUGGUCCUCCAGGCUCCAAAUGCACAUAUCCAGGAAUGCAGAUAAUGAAGAAAAUGAGGGUGGGCUUGCUUGCUUACUUGUUUCACCUUGGGACUACAGAAAGCCCGAGUUCCUUUGCAGUGAGUGAUGGAUGCUGUCUUAGAAAAAGGCACUUCUUCCUUGACCAUAUCAAGUUCUGGUAAUACUUCAGCCCCCUCAAACGGUCUGCAUCAAGUUAUUUAUAGCCAUGUUUUUAUUGGAAAAUUGCCAUAUACUGAGUAAAAACACUCAAGGCAUCAAGGUAUUGAUUUUUUAGAUGACAUCAAUAUAAACAGCGCUGAAUCUUCCUAGAUUGUGUGUGAGGAAGUGUGAAGCGUUUUACGUGUAGCAGCAAAUACACAGUUCCAUUGAGUGUUUUGCUUACCAAGAAAGUAGGAAUGAGAGUGAGGAAUACCAAAAGGAAGACUGCAGCAUUUAUUUACUUGGUUACCCCAAAGUACCAACCAUACUCGAAAAGAUGCCAUCUUAUUCUGAGAUUCAUGAGUGUCUGGUUGCUAAUUGGUUGCUGGGGGGGGGAGAGGGAGACAACAAAGUGCUGCUAACAGAACUGAGUUGUUGACUGUUUACUGUAAGGCGUCAGUGUGGUGUAGUGGUUAGAGUGUCAGACUAGCACCUGGGAGAGCAGAGUUCAAAUCCCUCACUGAGUGACCCUGGGCCAGUCACUCUCUCAGCCUAACCCACCACAUCGGCUUGUUGUGAAGUAAAGAUGUAGAGAACUAUGUCUGCCACUUUCAGCUUCUUGGUCGAAAGGUUGUACAGUAUAUAAAUGUUGUAAUAACUGGGGCAUUAUUUAAAAGCCAGAUUGGUAAAAGGCAGCUUUUUCUUCACAAAAUUUGAAUAGUAGUCAAGGAAGUUUGAGACAGCAUCUUGGAGCCUUUCCCCAGCUCUUUCGGACAGGUUUCAAGUUUGGUGACAAAAGGGCUCUAUAAUGGCUCUUGUGUCCCCCAUAAGGGAAUAAGGGCAGAUUUUGUUUACAACACAGCAGAUCACUGGAUCCAGAUACCCCUGCCCCACACCAGCUACCUGGGUUCCCACCAACCUCUCAGGAUCCACCCCCCUUCCACAAACAUCUUUUUCUUUCUUUUUUAUUGAAUUUGUAUCCCACCAGAGGUCAUUGCCUCCAUCCCUUAUUAGUUUCAGUUUGUGGUUCAGUCUACAUGCCCAAUAAGAAAAAACUUCCAAACUGAGACAUACUGUAGAUGAUGUUUAUGAUGAUUAUUAUUUGGUGUGGCUAUUCUAAUAACUUAAUCUUUUAUUUGAUUUGUAUAGACACUGAACUAUAUCCUUGCCCUGGGAUUACAUUUGCUUCCCUGGCUGCCUGGUUAACCUGGUCUAACUGUCCCAAGCCAUGACCAUAUUAGCUGAGGCAGUGUUCUGAUAAGGAUGCAACCUAGGCACCAAUGAAAUCCGUUUAGCUAAUUGAUAUUUUGCCUUUUAAACCUAUCAGUUGAUCCAAAGUAAAUCACUAUAUCAUGAAAAGUCAUGGUAGGCCACUGCCGCCCGCCCCCCCCCCCCCCGGUCAAAUUGCCUGCCUUGUUGAUCUGAUAAAGCAAUGCAACAGGUAGAAGCAUGAAUGUGCAUUCAGUGUGCAUGGAGCCAUGCUGUGCGUGAGCUGCUGGGAAGGCAUCCAUUCCAACUGGGUCUUUGAAAUCAGACACUGGAAGAUUCGAGCAGAGUUCAAAGCAAGGAAUGCCAGGAAUAGUUUAGCUGAAAUGCAAAUUAAACCCAGUGCUUGUCAAAUGCUGUGAUGUUGCCGCACAGUGGAUGGAGGAGAAGGCCAGCCUUGGUGCUGUGACUAGCCUCAAGCUAUGACUGAAUUUGCUUACUCGACCACUGAGGGACUCUCUUGCCUCAUACAGAACAAAAAUGUUUAGCAGGGCUUCUAGAUCCAACUCUAUGAACACACACCACUAUAGAAAACACAGUAUACUUGACACAAAUAAAAGAUGAAUGCUCUUGCGUAAUAAAGCAUCGGUUUCCAUUCUGCCCCAUGUCUUUCGCAUGAAGUGCUGUUUCCAUUCCACUGCAGUUUAGCUUCCAAUGAAAACUACGUUAUCUGUCUUGCUGCCGGCUGUGGCAAAAUUCUGUGUAAUUAAUUACAAUUAUGUCAUUCCACAUCAUUUAAAUGCAAAUGGAAUGCAGUGCAAAUGGGUGUAGUAGGUACUAUUUGUGAACUGAAAACAACAGUGAAUACUGAUUGUAUUGACUGGAUUGAUUUCCAUUCCAAACAUGGGACGAAAAAACAGACACAGUUAAUUUCUGUUCUUUUCUGCUGAAAUUCUCCAACAAUCCGACUCUUCAGGUGUUUGUGCUUGUGCGUGUCCCAGGAACAAAACUGAUGUUCCUGUGUGUGCAUGUACAUGGCUAGCCAAUGAUCAGGAUGGCUGCUUCAGAGCACUAGAAUCAAGAGACAAGCCCUUUUGGCAGGAAAUCUUGAAUCUUAUCAGUGAUAUAAUUAGAUCUAAUAUAGCUUUAGACCCAAAGUAAAUGUUCCUUGGUAGCCUAAAAGGUAUCAUUUGGAAGACAGAUUUAAGAACUCGCUUUCACAUUAAUUCCAGCAAAGUUGGUGAUAGCAAUUAAUCAGAUACAAUGUAACAGUACAUGAAAAUCUGAAAUAUAGUUUUUUACAAACUUAAAAGUACACUGCUGUCAGAGGAGGAUGAGCUGAUGAUAGAUGUAUCAAAAGAUGGAGUUCAUUUAUAAACUACAGUAUUGGAAUUUGAAAUUUCUAGAUAAUAUCCAGCUGUACACUUUAACUCAAUGUGACCUGAAGUGAUAACUGGAUGAUUGUUUCUGUAUUAUUUAAAGUGUGAUAUUAUCAUUAUAGGCAGAACUUUCUGAUUAUAUGUAUGUAUGUAAGCCAAGGGGUCCCAAAACUGUGAUUGACAAACUUUAUUUAGGCGAACUAUAGCAUGCCUGCAUUAAAUAUUCAUAUUGAUUUUAA